UGGGGAAUAUUGCGCAAUGGGCGAAAGCCUGACGCAGCGACGCCGCGUGAGGGAUGAAGGUUUUCGGAUCGUAAACCUCUGUCAGAAGGGAAGAAACCGCACUGUGCUAAUCAGCAGUGCCUUGACGGUACCUUCAAAGGAAGCACCGGCUAACUCCUUGCCAGCAGCCGCGGUAAUACGGAGGGUGCAAGCGUUAAUCGGAAUUACUGGGCGUAAAGCGCACGUAGGCUGCUUUGUAAGUCAGGGGUGAAAUCCCACGGCUCAACCGGGGAACUGCCUUUGAUACUGCUUAGCUUGAAUCCGGGAGAAGGUGGCGGAAUUCCAGGUGUAGGAGUGAAAUCCGUAGAUAUCUGGAGGAACGUCAGUGGCGAAGGCGGCCACCUGGACCGGUAUUGACGCUGAGGUGCGAAAGCGUGGGGAGCAAACAGG
rnacentral:rRNA from 1 species